GUUAAGCUUGGCUCUGACUUUAUUGUAUAAUAUAGAGCUAAAAAAUACACAUGGUAUUUAUUGAAGGUGGCGAGGCAAAAAGAUUAGAUAUUUACUGUGUUUUGCACAUGUAAUUUAUUCUCUUUUUAAGGUAUUAUAGCUUUAUAUAACGCCUUGAGAGGUCCCGCUAACACCAGUGCUGGAGGUUGAAAAAAGAGCGAAAGCUUGAAUCAAUUUAGCUCAUUAAGCCUGGUUAACUUGGUGCCAGCAUCCGCGGUUAAACCAAGAAGGCUAAGUUAUACUUUACGGUAAAAAGAUAGUUAAGUUGAAAUUAUAAGUUUUAUUAAUAUGCAUGAAAAGGUAGAAUUUGAACAUGUAUACAUAAUUUUUAAGAAAACUUUAGUACUGAAGCUGUGAUAGCCUAGGGAGAAACUGGGAUUAGAUACCCCAUUAUUCUUGGUCAUAAAAAGAUAUUAGUUUACCAGAGUACUACGAACUAAAAAGUUUAAAACUCAAAGGGCUUGGCGGUGUUUUAGACCUCUUAGGGGAACCUGUCUCAUAAUCGACAAUCCGCGCUAAACCUAACUUCUUUUUGUAAUCAGUAUGUAUACCAUCGUCGUCAGGUAACUUUUAAAAAACUAGAAGUUAGCUAACAAACUAUAUAAGUUUAAACGUCAGAUCAAGGUGCAGUCAAUGAAGGAGUGAGGAUGGGUUACAAUUAUUAAAUUAUAAUUACGAAAUAAUUAAAUGAAUAAAUAAUUAUGAAGGAGGACUUAAAAGUAAACUGAAUUAUAUAAACAUAUUGAAUUAGGCUCUGAAACGUGCACACAUCGCCCGUCGCUCUCGUUGAAAAAUGAGAUAAGUCGUAACAUAGCAGGGGUAAUGGAAAUUGUUCCUAGAUCAAA
rnacentral:rRNA from 1 species